rnacentral:tRNA from 1 species
GCCUUGAUGCCAGAGUGGUUAAUGGGACAGAUUCGAAAUCUGUUGGGCUUUGCCCGCAUAGGUUCAAAUCCUAUUCAAGGCG